rnacentral:rRNA from 1 species
GAUGAACGCUGGCGGCGUGCCUAAUACAUGCAAGUAGAACGCUGAAGCUUGGUGCUUGCACCGAGCGGAUGAGUUGCGAACGGGUGAGUAACGCGUAGGUAACCUGCCUCUUAGCGGGGGAUAACUAUUGGAAACGAUAGCUAAUACCGCAUAAAAGUCGAUAUCGCAUGAUGUUGAUUUGAAAGGUGCAAUUGCAUCACUAAGAGAUGGACCUGCGUUGUAUUAGCUAGUUGGUGAGGUAACGGCUCACCAAGGCGACGAUACAUAGCCGACCUGAGAGGGUGAUCGGCCACACUGGGACUGAGACACGGCCCAGACUCCUACGGGAGGCAGCAGUAGGGAAUCUUCGGCAAUGGGGGCAACCCUGACCGAGCAACGCCGCGUGAGUGAAGAAGGUUUUCGGAUCGUAAAGCUCUGUUGUAAGAGAAGAACGAGUGUGAGAGUGGAAAGUUCACACUGUGACGGAACUACCAGAAAGGACGCA